GCUGGGCAUAGUGGUUGAUGCCUGUAAUCCCAGCUACUCAGGAGGCUGAGUCAGGAGAAUCACUUGAACCCAGGAGGCAGAGGCUGCAGUGAGCCAAGAUCGUGCCACUGAACUCCAGCCUGGGUGACAGAGUGAGACCCUGUCUCAA
rnacentral:SRP_RNA from 1 species